AGAGUUUGAUCCUGGCUCAGAUUGAACGCUGGCGGCAUGCCUUACACAUGCAAGUCGAACGGCAGCGCGGGGGUAACCCUGGCGGCGAGUGGCGAACGGGUGAGUAAUACAUCGGAACGUGUCCUGGAGUGGGGGAUAGCUCGGCGAAAGCCGGAUUAAUACCGCAUACGCUCUAUGGAGGAAAGCGGGGGAUCUUCGGACCUCGCGCUCAAGGGGCGGCCGAUGGCGGAUUAGCUAGUUGGUGGGGUAAAGGCCUACCAAGGCGACGAUCCGUAGCUGGUCUGAGAGGACGACCAGCCACACUGGGACUGAGACACGGCCCAGACUCCUACGGGAGGCAGCAGUGGGGAAUUUUGGACAAUGGGGGAAACCCUGAUCCAGCAAUGCCGCGUGUGUGAAGAAGGCCUUCGGGUUGUAAAGCACUUUUGUUCGGGAAGA
rnacentral:rRNA from 1 species